UAAACCUAGGCUUAUCGGGUAGUCGACUAUUUGACUACUAUUUUACAUCCCUAAUCAGAAAAAGACAUUAAUUUGAUGAUUAAGCAUUCCCUAAAUUCUUGUAAGUAUUAUUCAUGUUAUUACUCAUGUUAUUGUGGUUAAAAAUGCGUACUAGUAUUUAAAAAAUGGGACCAAAUUGCAGUGAAAUCGUUGUCAAUUAGUUUAGGGUUUUCUCUCUCUCUUGUUUAUUUUAUGCUCUAUUGCUUUUAGUAAUACUUCUUUAGAAUAGGGUGCAUAUAAUUCUAAAUAUCCUGAACCUUUGAAUCAUGAAAUGGAGCCCACCACCUUCAUUACUCUAAAAGUGAGUGACUCUUGGUUUAAAAAAUGUGUUUAUCCAUCAGAGAGUACUGAGGUGGAGUCAUCAGGCUAUGAUUCAAGAAAUCUCUGUUCUCUUCCCAGCUGUUCAGACUUUCUGUAUGACCUCUGGGCUUUCGUUCCCCAUUUGUAAAUAUGGAAUAAUAAUAGUUUAAUGGUGUUGUGAGGAUAGAUCCAUUAAUAUUUGUGAGGUGUGCAGAUACUAUAUUUAUAGACUUAUAAAAUGCCUAUAAAGAAAGAUAUAUAUAUAUAUAUAUAUAGUGAUGGCCAAACAGGAGUAUAAAUGCCACAAUUAUUUUCCCUUUCUGCAGAAAGUCAUAAAAACAUAGCAGGGUCUGAAGGAAGUGUCUCUAUUCCUUCUAGAGAAGAGUCAACUUAAAAGUGAAUGCCAAAAUGAAUUCAUUUUUCUGUCACUACUGUCAGAUUAAAAGUUAGGUCUAAAAACCAUCUCCUGAUAAAUUUUCAAUAAAUGCAGAGUGUCUUAAAUUCGGAAAGCUAUAGGAAAAGCCUGUAACCAGCUUUACUGCAGUUCCAUGCAAGAUGAGUUGCACUUGAUAAAUUGGAGAUCAGUCUAGGCCUAAAUUUUUGACUUGUGAUUCGGGGGUUCAAAGUAGAGACCUAACAGCCCUGAUUUUCAGAAAAUGCUGACAACUUGCCCUCUCAAAAUCGGGCUCCAUCAAGGAGACUCAGUUUGGGCUCACAGAAUCACUACUCACUUUUGAAAAGAUUGGGCUUUGUGUGCCAGCUCUUUCACUCUAGACAUUUGGUCUCUCCUAGUUGCGUCCCAAGUCAAACUGAACUUGCUGGUUUCGUCUUAGAAUGUGAAAUUCUCUGCAGCGCUUACUCCCUGCACAAACAGGUUCCCUCCUCUAAUGAGAAAAAGAGGGAGUGUUGCAUGUCUGGACAUGAUGUAAAACUUACUCAGAACCUUUCUGCGCAUACAUAGUGCUUUCUUGCACUUGCUUAGCCUGCUCUCAACUUCAACAUCCUUAACCACUGUGCUUAAUAAGUCACCUGAUAAAUCAACCCCUCUACAUACAACCAAGCUAGUUGUGGCUUCAUUCACAUGAUGUGGUUAAGACCCCACUCCUACAAGGUGCUAAGUGACUACAAUUCUGCCUGAAGCCUCCAGCCAAGUACAGGACCACUCCAAUGAGAGGUAAGGUUGCUCAGCACCUUGAAAGAUUAGGCCCUUAUACCCAAUCCUGCUCCCUUUGAAGUCAGUGGAAGUUUUGCUAAGUUCACCUGGAUCUGGAUCAGGAUCAGGACCUAAGGAUUUAAGGGACAGGGAUGCACACUCUUUGCAUGUCUUUCUCUGGGUGUAAUGUGCCAUACAAAGCCAAAUCAGGCAUACACAUCUAUGCAUUCGUAGAUUGAUCCAAGUAGGUUUUUGAGCUAGAGGGUUCAGUACCGUCCUGAAUUAUUAGUAGAUGAAAACUCUCAAGGCAUACAUUUUAUUUAUGCCAAGGCCCCUUGAUGCAACUCUGGCAGGUAUGCAGGUAAUACGCCUUAAAGCGGGCAUACUUUACACAUACCUCCCUUAUCCAGUGCUUUGACUCCCAGAGUGAUGAAAAAGUGUCCUAUUGUAAAUGAGAAUCAAGCCCUCAAAUCUGAGGAAAAGAUGUCACCCUAGAUCUGUAACUGGCUGCUGUAUUUUUUUUGCAUCUCUCUCUCUUUGUAGAUCAACAGAUGAAAGGAAACAAUCUCUCAUCCCAAGAAAAGAGGAGAGCUAUGGAGCAGCACACCUCAACCACACUCCUCUCCCUCUACUGUCUCCUCAGCCAUUCAUGUGGCAAAGGUGUUAUGUGAGCUAACGUAUUGCAAAGCUCUGUACGCAGGAUGCAGCUGGCUGAAAGCAGUGGAUGCUUGAAGGGCAUUGGUGGGCCCAUGAAAAUGAAAUUCCCACCACUUACUAUGCUGUGCUAGCUGGUUUGGCUUGUAUUCACCAUGGAAUAAUGCUGGUGUCUGCUUAUGGAGUAUGAUAAGUGCAUUGAUUUCCACCUAACGGGAUAUGGUGUACAAAGCAGAGAAACGACACAGGCAAGAGGCUCUCUCAGCAGCCGAAAUGAGUUACCCAACUUUCUGCCUAAUUCUUCAGAGAACAUUAAUCUAGUUAAUCUCAUUGGUUCACCAAGCAACAGCCCUCUUUCCAGUCCCUAUUAAGACUCACUUCUUCUGUUGUGCCCUCAAUAAAUGAUCUCAUCUACCUGCAUAUAAUACCUGUUGACCAGCCAUGCCAUGGAAUUUAUUGGUGGGGAUUUCUGAAGGCCAAAAGCAUCACUGUGUUCAGAAAAGAUUACAUAAGUUCCUGGAUGGUAGGUCCAUCAAUAGCUGUUAGCCAAGAUGGUCAGGGAUGCAGCCCAAUGCUCCUGGUAUCCCUGCACCUCUGGUAGACAAGCUGGGAUUGGUCGGAGGGGGUAGAUCACUCAAUAAAUUGCCCUGAUCUGUACAUUUCCUUUGACACAUCCAGGGCCACUGUCAACAGACCAAACACUGGACUAGAUGGACCAUUGGUCUGACAAAUGCAUAUAUACAUUUGUUUGUAUCAUCUUUAUCUGUCUCUUGAUUAACAAUUAGUUAGUUGAGAAAACUUAGUCAUCUGCAAAAGUGUUUACAGGAUUGGUCACCUUUGUUUCUUGGCUAGACUAGCAUUGUAAAUGAGGACUUUUUCUCCAAUGGAUUUUCCUUGGUUGAGUGAAGUUUUUAUUACUGUUUUAACAGUAAUUGCAAUGCUGUGGUUUUCAAUAUGAUUGACUUUUGCCUUGUGCAUUAAAACAUCAGUUUCACUGACUGUAAUAAAUGUUAUAUAGAUGGUUUUAAU